AGAGUUUGAUCCUGGCUCAGGAUGAACGCUGGCGGCGUGCCUAAUACAUGCAAGUCGAACGCACAGCGAAAGGUGCUUGCACCUUUCAAGUGAGUGGCGAACGGGUGAGUAACACGUGGACAGCCUGCCUCAAGGCUGGGGAUAACAUUUGGAAACAGAUGCUAAUACCGAAUAAAACUCAGUGUCGCAUGACACAAAGUUAAAAGGCGCUUUGGCGUCACCUAGAGAUGGAUCCGCGGUGCAUUAGUUAGUUGGUGGGGUAAAGGCCUACCAAGACAAUGAUGCAUAGCCGAGUUGAGAGACUGAUCGGCCACAUUGGGACUGAGACACGGCCCAAACUCCUACGGGAGGCUGCAGUAGGGAAUCUUCCACAAUGGGCGAAAGCCUGAUGGAGCAACGCCGCGUGUGUGAUGAAGGCUUUCGGGUCGUAAAGCACUGUUGUAUGGGAAGAACAGCUAGAAUAGGGAAUGAUUUUAGUUUGACGGUACCAUACCAGAAAGGGACGGCUAAAUACGUGCCAGCAGCCGCGGUAAUACGUAUGUCCCGAGCGUUAUCCGGAUUUAUUGGGCGUAAAGCGAGCGCAGACGGUUGAUUAAGUCUGAUGUGAAAGCCCGGAG
rnacentral:rRNA from 1 species